AGCUUUGCACAGUGGCAGUGUCAUAGCCAAUGAGGUUUAACCAGGGUACAAUUAGUGAUAAUUGAAAACUUUUCCCAACUUUCACCAUUCUCAGCAUGAGAAGGUAAGUAGAGGGCUCUUGCAAGA
ensembl:snRNA U4 U4 spliceosomal RNA